GGUCACCACCUCUCCCUCGAGUCUGGGAUGACCCCAGUGCACUGGAGCAAUAAAUUCCUCUUGCUUUUUGCAUCGAUCCUGGCUCCACGUGGUUCAAUCGGGAGAUCCCAGGCAUUCUAAGCUUAAAAGAAGUCAGAAUAGAAGCAGCCUUGGAUAAAAUAUACACACCAAUGUUCUUCAUGUGAUCAGCUGCCACACCCUUCUUUUGAGCCAUGCAACACCAAGACCCUGAACCCCUCAGCUAGGCAUCCUCAAGAUCAGGCCUGGCCAUUCUGCUGCUGGCAUGCUUAUUACACUACUGUAGCCUGGAAUACAGAUGCUGAUAUUCAACUCUCUCUUAUUUGUAGUUCACCAGAUGGGUCAGUUACAGAGAGUUAUGAGAUAAGAAAACUAGAGAUACAAUUCCACUAACUUUGGAAAUAUAAGAAAUACUUUCAAAGAAAAUGCAUAUUUGCUUUUGUUGUUGCUGUUUCAACUUUAUUGCUUAACCUAAAGGAAUAUAUUCAAUGGUGGAAAAUUCAUAACAUUGAAGCCCCAAGGAAGCUAUGGCAUCCUAUACUUAUCAGAUAUACCUCAGGACUCAUAGGCUACUAAAUAAAAUAAACCAAGACUGAGUUUGAUGUAAGAGACCCCUGAGAGAAGCCAAACCAGAUAUCUACAUGGUUGUGUUUGCUCAUCAAAGUGAACAGUGACUCUUGAAUUGCAGGAGAUGGGUCUCCCAGCCCCACCUAUCUAUCUCUCUCCCUGCUGAGGUUCUGGCACUCCCACAGCCUAGUACCACAUGACCUCUCCCUACUGAUCUGGUACCACUGGCCUUUCUGAUCAACCUCUUCUGGAGCCCACUUGGACCUUGGGUCCACCUCUUCUGUUCCUGGAACUUCACUUGUUCACAGGCUGUGUUCUUCCCUCUCCCAGGGAGGGCUAACAGUGCCACCAGAGCACUGAUUGGGACACUGGAAAAUGAGCUUUCUCUAACAGCAGUUAGGCAUCGCCAGUGCCCAACAACAGACUCUUCUCUGUGCAUCAAAUCAAACUGCAGAAACUCUCCAUACCAGCUCCACAUCCACGAGCUCAACUGCUCAUAAGAACAAAAUCUGCAUCUGCAUCUGCACUGAACAUGAACAGUCUGUGUUGUCAUUGUUCCUUAAUAGUUCAAUAGAAUAUUUUUACAUAUCA
rnacentral:lncRNA from 1 species